AUUCCAUAUUGUGGACAUUUCCUCAAGAGUGUUUUGAACCUCUCCCAAGCUUCAUAGACAGACUCUGGUUCUUUUUGUUUGAACCCUAUAAUCUCAUCCUUCAACUU